rnacentral:lncRNA from 1 species
CACUUAGUUCCCUGUCGAGAAUCAGAAAAUCAACUAGAAAGUAAAACUCAUCUACCUUGACCAAGACAUCCUCAAGCAUUCCACGUGGUUUCUUAAUUGAUCUGUCGGCUAAUUGCAGUAUGACUGAUGUGGGUUUUAGUUCUCCGAAUCUAAAAAGUUCAUACACCGAACUAGGUAAAAGAUUCACACUUACCCCUAAGUCCAGAAGAGCUUUUUCAAUGUGAUAAUCUCCUAUAACACAGGAAAUGAUGGGGGCUCCUGGGUCCUUAAGCUUUGGAGGAGUGGCAUGUUGGAAGACAG